UACGAAGGGGGCUAGCGUUGCUCGGAAUCACUGGGCGUAAAGGGUGCGUAGGCGGGUCUUUAAGUCAGGGGUGAAAUCCUGGAGCUCAACUCCAGAACUGCCUUUGAUACUGAAGAUCUUGAGUUCGGGAGAGGUGAGUGGAACUGCGAGUGUAGAGGUGAAAUUCGUAGAUAUUCGCAAGAACACCAGUGGCGAAGGCGGCUCACUGGCCCGAUACUGACGCUGAGGCACGAAAGCGUAAGGAGCAAACAGG
rnacentral:rRNA from 1 species